rnacentral:rRNA from 1 species
AGUGAACGCUGGCGGCAGGCCUAAUACAUGCAAGUCGAACGGCAGCACAGCAGAGCUUGCUCUGUGGGUGGCGAGUGGCGGACGGGUGAGGAAUACAUGGGAAUCUGCCCAGUCGUGGGGGAUAACGUAGGGAAACUUACGCUAAUACCGCAUGCGCCCUUCGGGGGAAAGCCGGGGGACCUUCGGGCCUGGCGCGAUUGGAUGAGCCCAUGUCGGAUUAGCUAGUUGGCGGGGUAAUGGCCCACCAAGGCGACGAUCCGUAGCUGGUCUGAGAGGAUGAUCAGCCACACUGGAACUGAGACACGGUCCAGACUCCUACGGGAGGCAGCAGUAGGGAAUAUGGACAAUGGGCGCAAGCCUGAUCCAGCCAUGCCGCGUGAGUGAAGAAGGGACCCCUCGGGUUGUAAAAGGCUCCUUUUGUCCGGAAAGAAAACGACGCCGGGUUAAAUACCCCGUAAGUGUCCCUGACGGUACCGGAAGAAU